GUAACUACUCAGGAUUAAUGUCAGAAGUUGAGUUUUUGUUGGUGACACUGACAAGCUUUGUUUCCCUCCCUGUGCUCCACACGGGCUCUGGUCCUCUAACACAAUCUUCCUGGGUCCCGUGCUCUGCAGGGCCAGGUCAGAUGAUUUCCUGAGCAGUGCGUAUGUCCUGUGAUGUCCUGUGUUGCUGGAAUGGAGUGGAUUCUUCUCUCUCAGUGAGGAAUAGCUUUCUGAUUGUGAUCUCAGUGGAAGUCACGUGCUGUACCCACCACUGGGCAGACCUUGCUGGCCACGGCCUCCACGUGCAGUGACCGUUCUCUUGGCAGCGUCUCAGGCUGUCUGGACCAGCUGUCACAGUCUCGCUGUGGGUGAGUCACCUGAGGCACUGUAUGGCGGAUAGAAGGAUUCAUUGCCCUGGGAGGUUUUGCCUGGCAUUCUGCAGAAGCAUUGCUGUAUCUUACCAGACAGGAAUACAGAUGAAGACCCCCAGGCCCAGGGAAUUCGAUCACUGGCUGAGAACUCACAGCUAAGGAGGGGGAGCCUGGGAUUCCUUCCUGGUGCUCACACCCGAGACCCUUUUGUCACUGUGUUCAAAGGCACUGCUGCACAGACGUGAUUCUUCUUUCAACGAACAUCUCCAGGACUUCCUCCGGGGUCUGUGACCUCAUCUAUAAUUAAAGGGAAAGAGAUCUUCCUGAGAUUAGCCCAUUUAACUUGUUUAACUAGAUGCAUGCUGCAAAAACUGUUUUCAAGAAAUGAACAAUUGACUAUUUAAAAAGAGCCAAGCCUUAAAAGAAGACCAGGUUUUAAUAGGGAAAACAUUCAGUAAAAUAUUAUUCUGCAGUAACUUGUGGAAUGACUGCUGUACACACAGCUCUGGGCUGGGUACCUGGAAGCUCACGAGCUUGUUUGGCCUCCCCUCCUGGACACAGGAGGUGUCAAGGCUGUGGUCAGCAGAAUCUACCCAGCUGGACACUGAGUGGACGCCCUGUGGGGUGGCUGUGAAAUGGGUCCACUUUGUAGUGGCAGCAUCCCUGAUAGUACUUCUGAAAGGGACAAGAUAGAAAAGCAAACCAAACUGAAACUGAGAAGUCGUGGAUGAUACCAGGGGCGCACAGUGGCUGACAGGAAGAGACUGCCUGGGGGGUCUCGGAGCCAGUGGCUGGAGUGGAGUUAGUUUGACCGAGUCCUGGACUAGGGAGGGGACCCCCAAAGCAUGCCCAGCAUGGCGCUAGUGGGGCCCAGGCACCCCAUGUCCCAACGACUAGAACCAAUAAUCAGGUUAACACUCAUUAAAUAAGAAGUGUCUGUGCCUCCUGGGAUAAAAAUCCUUUAUAACGAUCUGGGACGCGAGCUCAAGUCCCUGUUCCCUUGUCCUCCACAGCAGUGUGCAGCGUGGAACUCGGCGGUUCGGGGUCCCUGAGUCCCUGAGCCACUGUCUACCCCCUGCUCCAUCCCAAAUGCAGAGACCCCUGAGCACUCAUGUGGACAUGCCCCACCAUGCCCUGGCUGCUCCUUCAGGAUGGCGCAGGGCCACCGCUAUGGGAGGACUCUAAAGGGUGGGUCUCAAGCCCUCCUCUGCUUACCCUAAAUCAGGAGAGCAAACCGAAUGCACUGCCCUCUUCCUUCACUCCUGCAUCCCAUCCCCCGCUAUGGCCUCACUAUCAGGUGGGCAUCUGUGCUCCUAGUUUUCAUGGGUGGCCCGACGGGGGCUGCAGAAAGUUCAUGCAUCGCAUCACCCAUCAGUGUAAGGUGCAGUGAUCCUGCCACAUGUGUCUUUGUCACAGGUCACUAGAUUAAAGGCUAAUAUAUCCAUGGGUGGAUGGAAUAUUUAUUUGGCCAAAUUGUUGUCUAACAAUCCAUUGGUUUUGGUUAUCUAUUGCUGAAUAAUAAGCCAUCUCAACAUUUAGUAAGCAGUGAGCAUUGGUUGAAGCCACUGUUCCUGAUGGCCAAGGUUGCCCAGGCUCAGCUGGGCGGCUCUUCUGCUCUGUGAUGUGAGCUGGGGCUGAGCAUCUGGAGAUUUGACUGGGCAGUCAGGCACUCACUCACACAGGGCAGGUGGGGCUGGCUGUCAGCUUGUAGCUCAUCUAGGGCUGUUGUCUGAGCGCCUGGAUUCUCUCUCAUGAGACCUGUCCAGCACCUUGGUCCCCCCAUAC
rnacentral:lncRNA from 1 species